rnacentral:rRNA from 1 species
GACGAACCGUACGAACGUUAUUCGGAAUCACUGGGCUUAAAGGGUGCGUAGGCGGCGCAGAAAGUUGGGUGUGAAAUCCCUCGGCUCAACCGAGGAACUGCGCCCAAAACUACUGUGCUCGAGGGAGACAGAGGUGAGCGGAACUUAGGGUGGAGCGGUGAAAUGCGUAGAUAUCGUCUGGAACGCCGAAGGUGAAAACAGCUCGCUGGGGCUGCGCUGACGCUGAGACACGAAAGCCAGGGGAGCGAACGGG